UACAGAGGGUGCAAGCGUUGUCCGGAUUUAUUGGGCGUAAAGAGCGUGUAGGCGGCCAGGUAGGUCAGCUGUGAAAACUCGAGGCUCAACCUCGAGACGCCGGUUGAAACCAUCUGGCUAGAGUCCGGAAGAGGAGAGUGGAAUUCCUGGUGUAGCGGUGAAAUGCGCAGAUAUCAGGAAGAACACCCGUGGCUAAGGCGGCUCUCUAGUACGGUACUGACGCUGAGACGCGAAAGCGUGGGGAGCGAACAGG
rnacentral:rRNA from 1 species